UAUUGAUCAACAUUAACCAUGCACCAUCAAAUACACUUCUCAUCUUUGCUACUUUCUUCACAGUAAUGAUAGGAGCAGAUCAUUUUAAAUCUUCAAAGACUGACAGCUGAGGGUUUUGAGAGACUCAUUCACUGGCUUCUUUCUAAAAAUUUUAUUCUCAUUUUUUCUAACUCAGUCUAUGAGACCUUAGGUGAAAACCUAAAUACGAAAACCUACAUUUGAGAAGAGCAUACAAAAAUCCCCCAUAAUACCCUCAACUAUCCUAAUUUUAAAAACUCAUCAAACAUACGGUUCUCAUACUUAGUGUCCAUCAGGAUCACUUGUGGGGGGCUUGUUAAAACACAGACAACUGAGCCCCACUUCCAGCAUUUCCAAUCCAGUAGAUCAGGUGAGAGCCCUACAAUUUGCAUCACUACCAAGUCCCCAGUGAGGCUGAUGUGGCUGGUCUGGGGACCACACUUUGAGAAUCACUGCACUAAACGGUUAUACUGAGUGCCUACUACAUCACAAGUACCGUCCCAGGUGCAUGGAGGUGGCAGUGAACAAGACAGAGAGAGUAAACAGACAUGGGACAACAAGCAAGUAACCAAGUGAGCAGAAUUUUCUGGCAGCUCUAUGGAGUAAAUAUUACCUCUUCUGGGUGAUGGUGCAUGAACCGUUCUCAGUUUCCAAAGUGCAGUUAAAUCUGUCUGAUCCAAGGCAGAAGCACGGUCCUUGUUUCAGGUCACAGUAAAACCCAAGCUAUGGAAAAAAAAUAACCCCUGCAAGCAAGAAACAGUAAAGAAAAUAAGGAAAGAAACAAGCAUCUCAAAGAACCAGGCUAUUCCUUGUAGAGGUGGCAGAGCAUCUACCUGAUGAUGGAUCGGGCCCCUGGGAGGCAUCCAUCACUUCUAAUCCUGGGCUCUGCGAGAGGAAAUGAACCUCGCAUGCAUAAAUUAGUGAAAGGCAUGAUAGUGAUUCGUGUUCCUUUUGCAAUUUCCUCUUCUAUACAGCCGCUUAUGCAGAUUGAACAAGAUGUCACUGUUACAUUAGGAACAAAGUGAGACACAAAAAUUAGUAAAAAUGAAAACUUAUUCUGGAUUUGGUCAACCUCUAGCUAAAGACUUCCCUCAGGGAAAAGACUCCAUGAAAGAGAGGAACUGUUAUUUUAAUUCUGAUAUUUAAUGAUAUUACAAAAGUCAUCCUGAAGUUGUUAUGGGAAAGAGAAAAGAAAAAAAU
rnacentral:lncRNA from 1 species